CCCGGUUCCCCCUGGGUGCUCUCCCUGCCGGGGUUUGGCUGCUCUGGGGGUCCGUGCAUAGGAGCAGGGCAGCCCAGGGCGUCCCCAGCUCCUGCUCCCAGCGCUGCCCUGGGCAGGCUCCCCUGUCCCCUCGUUCUGCAGGAAAGGCCAUUUUGGCUGCCAGGGAAGGAGUCUCUCUGCCAGGGGCUGAGUGCUCUGUCCGUCGCUGAGUGACACGGCAGGACACAGCUCGCUGUGUCAGGGACCUUUUCUUCCAUGGGAGGAAUCGAUGGCUCAGACAGUGAGACAAACCACCCACAAAGAGGUCUUGGGCUGCAGCUUGCACGGGCCAAUGGAAACAAAUGAUGCAGGAUUACCAGGGAGCAUCCAGCCUCCGUGGCUGGAGGGGGAUGCGGAGCAGCAGGCAUUCCAGUUCGAAACAGAAGGAUUUUAUCCCCACGCUUCCACAAGAUGGACCUCGGAGCGAGAGGAGGUGCCGGGUAGGGGGACCCGUCCCAUCCCAUCCCAUCCC
rnacentral:lncRNA from 1 species